rnacentral:rRNA from 1 species
ACGGGAGGCAGCAGUGGGGAAUAUUGCACAAUGGGGGAAACCCUGAUGCAGCGACGCCGCGUGAGUGAAGAAGUAUUUCGGUAUGUAAAGCUCUAUCAGCAGGGAAGAAAAUGACGGUACCUGACUAAGAAGCCCCGGCUAACUACGUGCCAGCAGCCGCGGUAAUACGUAGGGGGCAAGCGUUAUCCGGAUUUACUGGGUGUAAGGGGAGCGUAGACGGUAAUGCAAGUCAGAAGUGAAAACCCAGGGCUCAACCUUGGGACUGCUUUUGAAACUGUAAUACUAGAGUGCAGGAGAGGUAAGUGGAAUUCCUAGUGUAGCGGUGAAAUGCGUAGAUAUUAGGAGGAACACCAGUGGCGAAGGCGGCUUACUGGACUGUAACUGACGUUGAGGCUCGAAAGCGUGGGGAGCAAACAGGAUUAGAUACCCUGGUA